UAAAUAAUCAACACGUUAAAGCAACUUCCUAACAAAUUAUACUUCCAUUCAACAUCACAGCAAGUUUGUAUUGUACAUAAAUUUCAAACUAUCAGGUAUAAAAAGGAAAACUAGUUUUCUCCUUUGUACAUAUAUAUAAGACAAAGUGUAAAUUUAACAUAUUACAAGACUUGAGUUAUUAACACACCUUAAAAUAACAAAAUAAGUUACCAAAUUCAAGUUACAAGAUUUUGGUCUUAAUAUUCAAGCCUCCAAAUAACAUACAUAAGUGUGACAUAUAUGUCAUGUACAAGUCCCAAAACUAUACAAAAUCAUAGCGCAUAUGCAAAUGUGAUCUCCAUAAGUGCUCACAAAAAGACUAUUUCAUAAGGCCGUCUUCAAAUUCCAUCCCGUACAUUACCUACGAUAGAAAACAACUAUCGUUAAGCAUAAAUCUUAGUGGCAUAUAAACUUUGGGGGCUUGGAGCCAUUAACUUCUCCAAUUCUCAUUUUUAGUCAUAGGUAUCUCAAAUGAAAUAUAAUUUAAAACAAGUGAACAAAUAUAUCAAAAGUAUCAAAUGUCAACCCUUGAAGUGUUUCCAAUUAUCAAUAACUAUGUUCAAGAUUCAAGAGUUGAGAAAACGUAUACUAUCAAUUCAAGAAAGCUUGUCAAAUAUUCAUUUUUCGCCCAAUAUGUACGUCAUGCCAUCACACUAAGCAAAAUCAGAUAUCAAGAUGGACCGAAACCCAAAAUCAAGUAGGGUCAAAACCCAAUAGUCAAGAGAAUCAAGAACCAUGUUAAAAAUGGCUUCCUAGUUCGUACUUAACACGGACAAGUUCCAUAAUUUAAGACGAACUACAAAUCCAAAGUCAAGAUGGCAAAAGAUCCAAAUCAAGAGGCAUGCCAAGAUGAGUGACAAAGUCACUGCCACAAGAAGGACAAAGUCCCAACAAGAAUGCAAAAUGAUCAAACAAUCCGUACGAGUGGGCGAUUUAGCAAAUAUCUUGCAAUACUUGAUAUAACACGAAUACAAUGCUAUUAAUUGAAGAUAAGAAAAAUAAAAUAUCAGGUUAUUUCAAAAUAUUCCAGCAAGUAAAAGGAAUACAAAGUUUAUACACAAACCUUGGUGUUUUACCACAAAAUAGUUCAACCACAAUUUGAGGACGUUCGAAUCGUCUACGCCCUAAACAAACCAAAUCCGUCCACUUCCUCAAACACUUCCCCUUAGCUUUUACAAUGAUAUAUAUACCUUAAAUAUAUAAUAAAAUAUCUAUAUAAGUUCAGUGAUUUAACAUGUCAAACUAAACAUGAUAUUGGUAAAAAUUACCCAAAAUGUUUGAAACAGAAAUUCUGGACAGUAUCACUGCCUCGUGUUAUGACUCAUAUUUGAAGAUUAAAAAGGACAAACUAGACUGUGUGGUCUCCUUUAUAGUUAUAGAUAUGUGUCUUAGCAUUUCAGAACAUCUUGAAUCACCCCCAUAUCAAUUUUGUACAAAAAGUUAUGCUAAACUUACUAACAGUAGUACAAGGAGGGUUUGUAAAAUAGAAAAUCUGGGCAGCACCUGCCCUGUAUUUCAUCACCUAUUUUUGGGUAAAUAAAAGACAAACCAGAUUUUUAUUACUCCAUAAAAGUUAUAGAUCUAUGAAAUAGCUUUCCAGAAAGUCCAAGAUCACUUAAAACUGAGCUCUAUACAAUAAGAUAUGAAGAAAUUACUAAUAGCUAUCUAGUGUAAAAACGAGUUUAGUAACUUACCACAAAAGAAAGGAGCAACUUGAGCUUCACCAAGAACGAAUUUUGCUGGUUGGUUUAGUGAAAACUUAUGGUAGUUUUCAUGAAGUUUUCAGGUGAUAAGAAGGAGAGAGAGUAGGGGUUUUCUUUUUUCUUGAAAUAAUGAAAAUGGGGAGUUUAUGGAAGACUAAGUCAAUUAAAUUUGUCUU
rnacentral:lncRNA from 1 species